rnacentral:rRNA from 1 species
UACAGAGGGGGCGAGCGUUGUCCGGAAUCAUUGGGCGUAAAGCGCGUGUAGGCGGCUUCGUAAGUCCGUUGUGAAAGUCCAGGGCUCGACCCUGGAAUGCCGAUGGAUACUGCGGAGCUAGAGUCCGGAAGAGGCGAGUGGAAUUCCUGGUGUAGCGGUGAAAUGCGCAGAUAUCAGGAGGAACACCAAUGGCGAAGGCAGCUCGCUGGGACGGUACUGACGCUGAGACGCGAAAGCGUGGGGAGCAAACAGG